rnacentral:tRNA from 1 species
GUCCUGGUAGCUUAAACUAAAGCGUUGGUCUUGUAAACCAAAGAGUGUAAAUUUAUAUUUUACUCAGGACU